rnacentral:misc_RNA from 1 species
UGGUUCUGGCAUCGAUGAAGAACGCAGCGAAAUGUGAUAAGUAAUGUGAAUUGCAGAAUUCAGUGAAUCAUCGAAUCUUUGAACGCACAUUGCGCCUCUUGGUAUUCCUUGAGGCAUGCCUGUUCGAGCGCCGUUUGAAAUCCUAAAGCUUUGCUUUGUGUUGGACUUUGUUGUGUAACUGUCACGACAAGUCUCAAAAAUAUUUUGCCCAAGCUAUCUUGCGUAACGCAGUGAAAGUGCAGCACGUAAAUAUGACAAGGGCAGGUCAAACGAUCGCAUGGCCUCGAAUCAGGUAGGGCUACCUGCUGA